rnacentral:rRNA from 1 species
AAUAUUGGACAAUGGGCGAAAGCCUGAUCCAGCCAUGCCGCGUGGGUGAAGAAGGUGUUCGGAUUGUAAAGCACUUUAAGUUGGGAGGAAGAGUUGCAGGCUAAUACCUUGCAAUUUUGAUGUUACCAACAGAAUAAGCACCGGCUGACUUCGUGCCAGCAGCCGCUGUAAUCCGAAGGGUGCAAGCGUUAAUCGGAAUUACUGGGCGUAAAGCGCGCGUAGGUGGUUCGUUAAGUUAGAAGUGAAAGCCCCGGGCUUAACCUGGGAAUUGCUUUCAAAACAGACGAGCUAGAGUACGGUAGAGGAUAGUGGAAUUUACUGUGUAGCGGUGAAAUGCGUAGAUAUAGGAAGGAACAUCAGUGGCGAAGGCGACUACCUGGACUGAUACUGACACUGAGGUGCGAAAGCGUGGGGAGCAAACAGG